GUGGGGGGGGUAUUUAAAAACACCCCGGAUUUUUUUCCCCAAACCCCCUUUUCUUUUUUUUUUUUUGAAAAAGGGAAAUACCCCCCAGGGAAAAAUUUUUGGGUUUUUAUUUUUUUUUAAUAACCCCCCCCCAAAAGAUUUCCCAGGUUUUUUAAUGGUUAUAAGGGUUUCCGGUUAAGGGAAGGGGCCAUGCGUUCCUAUUAAGUUUGUUGGGGGAGGUAAAUGGCUUACCCAAGACUUACGAUAAGUUAGGGGGUUCUGAGAAGAUUUAUCCCCCCACACUGGUGCUUGAGACACGGACCAGACUUCUACGGGANGGCAGCAGUGAGGAAUAUUGCGCAAUGGACGAAAGUCUGACGCAGCCAUGCCGCGUGAAGGAUGACGGCGCUACGCGUGUNAAACUUCCUUUNAUAUACCAAGAAACCUUCGGACGUGUCCGAAGCUGACGGUAGUAUAUGAAUAAGCACCGGCUAACUCCGUGCCAGCAGCGCNGGUAAUACGGAGGGUGCAAGCGUUAUCCGGAUUUAUUGGGUUUAAAGGGUCCGUAGGCGGAUCAUUAAGUCAGUGGUGAAAGCCGACAGCUCAACUGUCGAACUGCCAUUGAUACUGGUGAUCUUGAGUACGGUUGAAGUAGGCGGAAUAUGACAUGUAGCGGUGAAAUGCUUAGAUAUGUCAUAGAACACCGAUUGCGAAGGCAGCCUACUAAGCCGUUGCUGACGCUGAGGGACGAAAGUGUGGGGAGCGAACAGGAUUAGAUACCCUGGUAGUCCACACCGUAAACGAUGAUUACUCGGUAUUGGCUUUAUUGUCAGUGCCCAAGCGAAAGUGAUAAGUAAUCCACCUGGGGAGUACGGCCGCAAGGUUGAAACUCAAAGGAAUUGACGGGGGCCCGCACAAGCGGUGGAGCAUGUGGUUUAAUUCGAUGAUACGCGAGGAACCUUACCAGGGCUUAAAUGUAGAACGACCGGGGUGGAAACACCCCCUUUUUCGAACGGUCUACAAGGUGCUGCAUGGUUGUCGUCAGCUCGUGCUGUGAAGUGUCGGGUUAAGUCCCAUAACGAGCGCAACCCCUAUUUCUAGUUGCCAGCGGUUCGGCCGGGGACUCUAGAGAAACUGCCAGCGUAAGCUGUGAGGAAGGUGGGGACGACGUCAAAUCAUCACGGCCCUUACGUCCUGGGCCACACACGUGCUACAAUGGUGGGGACAACGAGUUGCCAACCCGCAAGGGUGAGCUAAUCUCUCAAACCCCAUCUCAGUUCGGAUCGGAGUCUGCAACUCGACUCCGUGAAGUUGGAAUCGCUAGUAAUCGCGCAUCAGCCCAUGNCGCUGUAAUCGGGGGG
rnacentral:rRNA from 1 species